UACGAAGGGGGCGAGCGUUGUUCGGAUUUACUGGGCGUAAAGGGCGCGUAGGCGGCGCGAGAAGUCGAGUGUGAAAGCCCCGGGCUCAACUUGGGAAUUGCGCUCGAUACUCUUGUGCUUGAGUUCGGGAGAGGAGCGUGGAAUUCCCAGUGUAGAGGUGAAAUUCGUAGAUAUUGGGAAGAACACCGGUGGCGAGGGCGGCGCUCUGGACCGAGACUGACGCUGAGGCGCGAAAGCCAGGGGAGCAAACGGG
rnacentral:rRNA from 1 species